rnacentral:lncRNA from 1 species
GCAGCCAAGGCAGCAUAAAAGUGGCUUUGAGCUCAGUCAGGGAGCACCUGAGUUGCCUUUGAUAAGAUUGUCCUUUGGGUGAUUAUUUAAAGGGUCAGGAGAGGAAAAAUGAUCAUGAGAAAUAGAGGUGUUAGGACUAGAGCUCUUGUGGGGGCUUUCAUUCUGUCUCCCUUGACAGUGUUUGUCAACUCUUGGUGUGCUGGCCUGAGGUGUGUGUCUCCCCACAUUGCAGAAUUGGGUCAGCCCCUCAGGGAUGUGCCUCCUGGUCCCAGCCCUUGGGUUUCCAGCAUUCAGGGCGGGGCCAACUAGUUCCCUGCGGCCCAGGACCCCUUUGAUGUGUGGGUCAGUGUGGGAGGGAGACUAGGGUGGAAAUAUGUGUUUUCCUAUCAAAAUUCCUCAUUGAUGAUUCACUGCCAGAUGUCCCCAACGCCCCCAGCUGCUCUGUCCCCUGAAGUCACUCCCUGGGGAUGAGCACUCCUGAUGCCUGGUCCUCAGCCCUGCAUUGCUUCCUGGCUGGGGAGGGAGGAGCAGCCCCAGAAAGUGUGCUCUGAGUCUCUGCUUGCCAAAAGAAGGCAUGGAGAGUUGCUUUGCAGGCCUCUCAGACCAGCCAGCUGUGCAGAGGGAGCCCCAAGCUAAAAACAGUUUGAAUUUGACUGCCUCUGGCCGGAUCCCCCAGUACCCACCAUUCCCUAUUGUCUCCCACUCAGCUGAACAUAGUUAUCUGGGUUCUUGGCUGGGCCCUGGCCCCACUGAGAUCACUGGAGCUGUGCUCCUGUGGAGAUUGUGGCAGAUUUGCACAGCGACACCUACGAUCCCAUUGCCCCCGCUCCUCUGCUGGGUCCCUUGGGCUGAGGGUGUGCUCGGCUGCACCGCUGCCUGGCCUGCGGGGGAUGGCAUCUUGCUUCUAGCCCGUGGGAGGCAGUGUGGCCUUCCUUCCAAGCCAGACUCAGACAACUGGGCAGCCAUGCUGCCAGGCCCUGUCCCCGAGGCCUUGGAGCUGAGGGAAGUCCCUGGGUGUCUGCGGAGCAGGCGGCCUCCGUCUGGACGCCCAGGCCUUUCAGCUGUUGAGCCCCAGUUGGAAGAGGCAUUCCAGGGACAUUCCUUCUGUCUGGAGCGGGGACUUGGCCCGAAUUGUGAACCAAAAACCGGAAUGAACUGCACCAGUUUGCUCAACCUCGAAACAAAUCCAAAUAUUGUUUAUAUCACCGAGAACCAAACCAGAGUUCUGGGGCUGGGUUUGGUUUGUUUUCCCACCAGAGAACAUUUAGUGAAGGAGGCUCAGCUGGAGCAGGACUCGUCCACCUCCUCAGGCAACACCGAGGGAACACGAGCCUCGCCUCGCCAUGGGUUUUAGACUUGGUAGGCUGGAAACCUUAGAAGGCAGGGUUAGGUCUGCAGAGACGGCACGAGGUCGACUCCAGGAGGGAGAGGCUAUGGUGGCUGACCUCUGUGCAGGAGACAGGGCAGAGUCGCAUGCUCACGUCUCUGUGGAUGGGGCUGUGUGGUGUGGUUGGCCCAGAAAAUUACUACCACGCAGCCACGAUGAGUACAGGAUGCCAAAGGUCAGUCAGUAGGCAUUUGUGUAGUUCCUGGCACCACGCUGAGGCAGACCCAAAAGAAAUCCCAAAGGCAAGACCUGUGCUCUCUGGGAGCCCAUGGUACACUGUGGGGCUGUGUGUGACACCACACUUUACUGAAGAGAAGCUGUAAUAGCUUAAAUGGUGUACCCUCCAAAUUUAUAUCCACCUAAAAACCUGGAAUGUGACUUUAUCGGAAAUAGGGUCUUUGCAGAUGUCCUUAGUUAAGGAUCUCAGGUUGAAAUCAUCCUGGAUUUAGGAUGGGCCCGAAAUCCAAUGACUGGUGUCCUUAUAGUAGGAGGAGAGGACACAGAGACACAUGGGGAGAAGAAUGCCAUGUGAAGACAGAGGCCGAGAUGGGAGUGAAGCAGCCACAAGCCAAGGAAUGCCUGGGGCCACCAAAAGCUGGAGAAAGCAAGGAAGGACUCUCCCAUUGUGGCUUUGGAGGAACUGCGGCCCUGUUGGCUCCGGAUUUCAGACUUCCAGCCUGAACUGUGUGGAGAAUACGCAUCUAUUGUGUUCAAGCCAUUGACUUUGUGAUAAUUCGUUAUGGCAACCCCAGGAAACUCAUACGCAAGUCCCUGAGACAACAACGGCCUGUCACACCCACACCUCCUGUCUGAGGAAAAGUGGUGUCCUCUGUAUAAUUAGCCACAUUUGUGUCAUGUGACCCUGCUACCCUGAUCACACACGACUGGACCAAGCAUUGAUUGGCUGGACAUGGGAGGAUGUCCACCCAUGUGGUGCCUGGCCACCCUAGAUUGGAGGGGGCUUCUGCCAAGGUGUCCUUUGCAAAAGGGGGCACACACGCCAAGUAGGGUGUUGGUGGGAACCGCGAUAUGGAGCCGUGAAGCAGAAACCAUGAGAUAAGCAGAGCAGGAGAGAGAGAGAGGGAGAGAAGGGGGGAGGGAGGGAGGACAUGUUGAGGGGGCAGUGUCACCAGAGUCAGCAGCCACAAUGUCACCCCUCUGAGGGGACAGGUCACUGCUACAUUCUACAAGAAGCCUGAGUCUGAUACUGUGACUGCAUUUACUUCCUGGGCCCCUUUACUUCCUCUGGAUUCUUACGAUUCAUCCUCAAGUCCCAAGAGAACCUCGGCGCCUCUAUUCCCGGCCACCUGAAACCGCCCAACCAAAGCACAACACAAGUGAGACCACCACAGAGAUAUAGGAACUCACGUACAGUUGUGUUUAAUCCAAGGCCCGCCCAUAUACACUACUUCCUGGCUCUGUUACCCGGUGCAGGUUGCUUAACCUCUCUGCAUCCUGAUGUCCUCAUCUAUCAAAUGGGGUUAAUGCCACCCUUCAGAGGCUUUUGUGAGGAUGAAAUAAGCUAUAGAAAGUGAAACAUCUGCAACAGUGCCUGGCACACAGCAUACCCUCCAUAGUUUCCUUCCCUUCAAGUGACAGCAGUUCAGAGACUGGACUUGGAGCAGUUCAGAGACUGGACUUGGGUCUGGGUCUAUAGUGUUGGAAACAGACACAUUUCCAGUUUGAACCAGUCUGGCAAGUGGAAUUUUGAAAAUGCUUGGGUAGGGUUCAGUUCAGGGUUCGAUAACAAAAUUUAAGUUUAGUUUGGUUGGAAAUUUAGCAAAUGAGUGUGGUUUUGCGUCCUCCUUGCCUUUUGUUUGUUUGUUUAUGACUGGAUUCAGCUGGUGUCCCUGAAGAACCUAUCCGUAUAGCAUUAAUUUAGUCAGUAGAAGUCUUGCAGAAACAGAUUUGGGGAACCCACUAGCCUGCCAGAACAUUUGCGAGCUUAUCAAACAUAUUUUACAAAUCUGAUAAUGCUUAAUACAUUGUUGGCCCUCACCUGUAUGCAGCCAAAUCUGUAGGGGCCUGACCACGUUUGCUGAUGCUGUGCCAUUCUCUGCUCCUCCAGCUCUGAGGCCUCUGUCCAUCCCCCAGUUCCUUAAGAGAACAAAGAACAUGAGAUUUUUUUAAAUGUUGGCACGUGAAAUCAUUUUCACAGAGACUUAAGAAAAACAAAGGAGAUUCUGGGCAAAACAGAUGAUAUUAUCUGAUGCAGCAUCUUUUGUCUUCUGAAGGCUGAAAUGUGUCUCCAGUCCUGCGCCGUAGUUUUCCUCCGUUCUCUCCUCCGGGCCUAUCUCCUCUUCCUGACAGUCGCGCUCAGCAGGCUGUUCCUUGGCUGAGCAGCUCCCUCGGUGGGUCUCCUCCAGCACACACGUCCUGGGCUGAUCCCCUGGUGCUGGGCUCCCGGCGAAGCUGGUGGAGGCUGUGAGAAGGAGAGACGAGGCCGAUGUGAAUGGCUGAGAGUACCAGUGUUAGCCUGUGAGGGGCCGCGGGGCAGGAAAGGAGGAUGCACAUGGGGGCUGCAAGGGGUGAUGCAGGGUUUUCUUUCCUUUAUAAAAAGAAGAUCUGUGGCAAAUAGGGUGUAAAUUAAGACUCGAUGAAAUUGGUUAGAGGUUACAAGGUAUGUGCUAAUAUACUCCAGACUUGCCUAUAGGUUUGAAAUAUCUUAUAAUAAAGCUUGGUUUAAAGAAUACUUGUGAAGAGAAGUUUUGGACUUCAAGAGAAAAAAAAAUAAAAGAAUUUGCUGUGUUAAGAAAGUCUUUACUGGCAGUCUGUACAGAGUUUGCCCUUUGUAAGGGGCAACUUAGGUAUUGAAGCAUGCAUUUGAACCACUGACCGCCUGUGCCUGUCAUGAGCUCAAGGUUGAAAGGCUGUUUCCUCCAGGUGGAGCCGUGUGUCUAACCCACUGACACAAUGUGGACCCUUGAAGGGUGUGACCCUGUGUGAAAGUGUUUUCAAAUGGGGCCUUCUUUGUGGGGGCAUUUUGUAUUCUUUCCAUCCAGAGCCAGUUUAUUUCUCAAGAUUGUUCCCUGCUGGAUAGAAAGAGACGUAUUUGUGCGACCAUUGUCCCUUGGGAGGACACUGGUGCCUUGGGGUCUGUGGCCAGUGUGGAGAUUGUCCUUGAGGUUCCAGAACGACUGUGUGUCUCCAGAGGUGCCUGCCCUCCUCCUGCACGGCGGCGUCUGUUGGUGCGCCCGGAUUCACGCGUAGUCCCUGGAGCCCGCGGUGGGCUGGGCAGUGCGCUCACGUCAGCUCCGAGGCCAGGCUGGCUUUCAUUUGGUUCUGAGAUGGUUGAGGACCAGGGCAGUGCUAUUUAUGGAGCCUUGAACUGCUUCCUUAUGACCCAGUGCUGUUCGGUUGUUUUUGGUUUCUCUGUUGAGGUAUAUAAUUACCCUUUCCUUGGCUGUGAGCUUUCAGAAUACUGAGGCCACAAGGACCUCCUACAACCCGCGGUGACCUGUUUGACUUUCUCGAGGGAGCUGCCUGGUGAUCCUAGCCGGUCCUGCGGCAGCACCAAAGGGCUGUGUGUGCGGUGGCAAUCUGGAAGUCAGAGGGCGGCUGUCUUGUCUGGGCUUGUCUUGUCACUUGAACGAACUGCUUUUUUCUCAUCCUUCUCAUGGCGAUGAUAGUAUUCAAAUCAACGUGUUGCUGAGUAAAUGAAAGAGCCCCCAGUGGCCAAAGCUGGAACAAUUUGAGGAACAAAUAAAUAAAGGAGAAUUGCAUUAUAACCUAAAUUGUAAAAUAUUUCCGUGAGUCCAUAUUGAUAUAAACAGAUGAUAGAUGGAUUAGUAAAUGGGGGACAAGAGGCAAAUCUCCCAUGCAGAUUAAUUAAUCAGUUUAUGGAGAUAUUUCAUUCUAAAGGAAGGGCGCAUAACUCCCCACCCCUCAAGUGUGGGCUGCACAGAGCAACUUCCUUCUCAAGAAGACGCUAGGCAAAGGGGAGAAAAGAGGACCUCUCCAGUGGAGAGCCCUGACGAACGCUGUGCCUGCAAGGUGGUCAAGGUCGACAUCAGCAAUCGUGUCAUGCUGACAGCAGGUACCCUUGAUGUGUUGUCAUGACAAUAGCACUUUGCGUCUGUGAUCUUCCUCCCCCAAACCCAUACUGUCAAUCUAAUCAUGAGAAAAACGCCAAGCAUCCCAUUAGGAGGUAUCCUGCACUAUAGCUGACUGUGUCCCUCACAACCGUCAAGGUCGUCAGACACAAGGCAAGACUGAGAAACUGUUGCAGCCAAGAGAAACCUACGGAGACACGACAGCUUAGUGGAAUAUGGCAUCCUGGAUGGGAUCCUGGAACUGGAAAAGGACAUUAGCUUCAAACCAAGGAAAUCUGAAUAAAUGAUGGAAUUUAGUCAAUAAUAAGGUAUCAAUAUUGGUUCAUUAAUUGUGACAAAUGUACCAUACUGAUGUAAGAUACUAAUAUUAGGGGACCUGUGUGUGGGAGGUGGAGGAGUAUGUGGGAACUCUGCAGCAUCUUUGCAAUCUUUCUGUAAAUCUAAAACUGUUCUAAAAAAUAAAGCCUAUGAAUUUAAAAAAUUUAAAGAAAAUAGAUGUUUAUAGCAAACAUUUGUGUUCAACACAUACAUAAAU